GACGAACGCUGGCGGCGUGCUUAACACAUGCAAGUCGAGCGGUAAGGCCCUUUCGGGGGUACGACGAGCGGCGAACGGGUGAGUAACACGUGGGUGACCUGCCCUUAGCUCUGGGAUAAGCCUGGGAAACUGGGUCUAAUACCGGAUAUGACUCCAUGACGCAUGUUGUGGGGUGGAAAGCCUUGCGCGGCUAGGGAUGGGCCCGCGGCCUAUCAGCUUGUUGGUGGGGUGAUGGCCUACCAAGGCGACGACGGGUAGCCGGCCUGAGAGGGCGACCGGCCACACUGGGACUGAGACACGGCCCAGACUCCUACGGGAGGCAGCAGUGGGGAAUCUUGCGCAAUGGGCGAAAGCCUGACGCAGCGACGCCGCGUGGGGAUGACGGCC
rnacentral:rRNA from 1 species